UACCAGCACCCCGAGUGGUCGGGACGUUUUAUUGGGCCUAAAGCAUCCGUAGCCGGUUCUACAAGUCUUCCGUUAAAUCCAACUGCUUAACAGGUGGGCUGCGGAAGAUACUAUAGAGCUAGGAGGCGGGAGAGGCAAGCGGUACUCGAUGGGUAGGGGUAAAAUCCGUUGAUCCAUUGAAGACCACCAGUGGCGAAGGCGGCUUGCCAGAACGCGCUCGACGGUGAGGAUGAAAGCUGGGGAG
rnacentral:rRNA from 1 species